rnacentral:rRNA from 1 species
UAGAACAUUAUGCCUGGAAUGGUUUAUGUUUCAAAUAAUUUAUUGCCGUAAGAUGGGACUGCGGCCUAUCAGUUUGUUGGUGAGGUAAUGGCCCACCAAGACUAUUACAGGUACGGGCUCUGAGAGGAGUAGCCCGGAGAUGGGUACUGAGACACGGACCCAGGCCCUAUGGGGCGCAGCAGGCGAGAAAACUUUGCAAUGUGCGAAAGCACGACAAGGUUAAUCCGAGUGGUUUCUGCUAAAGGAACCUUUUGUCAGUCCUAGAAACACUGGCGAAUAAGGGGUGGGCAAGUUCUGGUGUCAGCCGCCGCGGUAAACCAGCACCUCAAGUGGUCAGGAUGAUUAUUGGGCCUAAAGCAUCCGUAGCCUGCUUUGUUAGUUUUCGGUUAAAUCCAUAUGCUCAACGUAUGGGCUGCCGGGAAUACUGCAAAGCUAGGGAGUGGGAGAGGUAGACGGUACUCGGUAGGAAGGGGUAAAAUCCUUUGAUCUAUUGAUGACCACCUGUGGCGAAGGCGGUCUACCAGAACACGUCCGACGGUGAGGGAUGAAAGCUGGGGGAGCAAACCGGAUUAGAUACCCGGGUAGUCCCAGCUGUAAACUAUGCAAACUCGGUGAUGCAUUGGCUUGAUGCCAAUGCAGUGCCGCAGGGAAGCCGUUAAGUUUGCCGCCUGGGAAGUACGUACGCAAGUAUGAAACUUAA